UACGGAGGAUCCAAGCGUUAUCCGGAUUUAUUGGGUUUAAAGGGUGCGUAGGCGGCCUGUUAAGUCAGGGGUGAAAGACGGUAGCUCAAUUAUCGCAGUGCCCUUGAUACUGAUGGGCUUGAAUACACUAGAGGUAGGCGGAAUGUGACAAGUAGCGGUGAAAUGCAUAGAUAUGUCACAGAACACCGAUUGCGAAGGCAGCUUACUGGGCUGUAACUGACGCUGAUGCACGAAAGUGUGGGGAUCAAACAGG
rnacentral:rRNA from 1 species